AGAGAGAGACAUGCGCGCAUAUCAAUAAGCGGAGGAAAAGAAACUAACAAGGAUUCCCCUAGUAACGGCGAGUGAAGCGGGAAGAGCUCAAAUUUGAAAUCUUAAAGGGUUUCCCUUUACGAAUUGUAGUUUAAAGAAGUGUUUUCUGUUGAGGUUUUGGUAAAAGUUCUUUGGAAUAGGACAUCAUAGAGGGUGAGAAUCCCGUAUUUGACCUUUACUUUCAACUUUGUGAUACACUUUCAAAGAGUCGGAUUGUUUGGGAAUGCAGUCCAAAAUGGGUGGUAAAUUUCAUCUAAAGCUAAAUAUUGGCGAGAGACCGAUAGCGAACAAGUACCGUGAGGGAAAGAUGAAAAGAACUUUGAAAAGAGAGUUAAACAGUACGUGAAAUUGUCAAAAGGGAAGCGUUUGACACCAGUGUUGUUUUUCUGAAAAUCAAUUAAAGAACUGUUUAUGCUAAGUUGUUUAGACUUUAUCAUGCUAACUGUUUAGUUUUGAGCUUUUCUUUAAUGCACUUUUCAGUUAACAAGUCAACAUCAAUUUCUUUUGCUGUAAAAAAGCUUGAGGAAGGUGGCUUGAGAUUCGUCUUAAGUGUUUAUAGCCUCUUGCCUAUGCAGUCGGAGAGAUUGAGGUCUGCAGCGUAGAUCCUUCGGGGCUAAAUGCAUUUGUGCUAAGGUUAUAGCAUUUUAUAGACAACUUGUUGACUAUGAUUUGUCUUGUAGCUUACUCGCUUAUGUUAUUUUACCUACGCUUAGGAUGUUGAGCGCAUGUCUCUCUCU
rnacentral:rRNA from 1 species